GCCCAUUUGGGCAGAGGGAGCCUCCUCCCAUCGUCGCUGGUGCUCUGUGGCUUGUUUGGACAAUCCAUGGCUUUGUUUCCAGGUGGCUCAAGGUCUAAAGCUACUGCACAGGUCCUACUCCAAAGUCGAAUUUUAGGUGCUUAAUGAAGACAAGUAGACAUGAUCUUCUCUUGGCUGUAGCCUGGGUAAAGCCUCUUGCCUGAAUUCAGACUGGCAUAUGAAAUGCCAUUCUCCUUUUCUGCAGGGAAUGGCCUUCUGCUGCUGAAUCAGCAGGAUAUGCCCUGUGACAGACUCCAGCUGGUGGAAGAGCUGUUAAUGGGUCAGAAAUCCGUGUCCCACUCUAGCCUCCCUCCAAGCAAUGUGCAUGAGAGAGGCACAGGGCCGAGCAAACGGCAUGGGAGAGGGAAGUGGAGACCCCUGAUACACACAGCUGUUAUCUGUGAUAAGCUGCAUCCUGUGCCGUGCUCCACCUCUCUGCAGCAGGGAAGGCGUUUGAACUCCAAGACCUUUUCUCAGUGCAGUCUCUAUCUGAUAAACACACAGCAGGCAGCUGGAAGCAAAAAACAAAGUUCAGCCCAUUCCCAGUGACUCAGUUUCUAAGACUUCUGACCAGUUUCCUAAACCUCUGCCUUUAGACAUUUUUUUAGGCAGUGUAGGUACAUCUAAGCCAUACAAAUGGGUGAAGAAGUUCAUAAUAGUCCUGUAGAGCAGUGAAGUGAAGAAAUGGAGCUGAAAAAGGGGGGGAAAAAACCCCACCAAUUCUAUCUAAGCAGGGCAGUAAGAAAGCCAAGUUUCUUCCAGGAGAAACUUGUUUAAAGUGUCUGCAGCUGACCUCUGAUCACUGGAGUGUGGUUGUUGGCUUGUGAUGCAGUUUGUAACCACUUCCCUUGCUCUGACAGUUGUGUUCGUGCUCUUGGAUGGAAAUCUUCAGGAAUGCAGCAGUGGACCUUCUUCCUCAGUGCCCUCCUCAGGGACUCUUCACUCAUGAGCUUCAUCCUCUAACCUGAAGCAGACCUCCGUCCUCAAGGAUGAAGACAUUAGAAGAGACAGAUCACAGCCAUUGUGCUGGAGGCCCAAGGCCACUGCAACCCAUAGAGGUGGCAGGCAUUGUUACUCCCCUGCCCCGUCCCUCCUGAGAUGUGCCACGAUACCAAGGCAAACUCUGCGGGGGAACAUCGGAGUGCCCCGCACCGGGAGCCACUGCAGCCCUGCUGGGUAGGUGACGUUUUGUGCCAGCGCUGUGCCUGGGGGCUGCUGGUCUCCCAGCUAGGGGAAGGCUGCCCUCGGGCUUACCCCCAGGCGUGGUUGCUUUGUGUAGCAGAAGAUCAGUCAGUAGGAAAAAUGCUGCCUUUGGGGGGGUGUAUUGGUCUCCCUUAUAUAAAGGACCGCAUGAGGAGACGAGGCUGCAGCUGGGCAGGUCUCGGAGGCUGCUGCCCAUGCCGAGGGACGCCACUCCACACAGCCUCCUGGGGGCUGUCACAGCAUCCCUCCGCACCAGAGGGGCGCAUCGGUGAAUUCAGACCUUCCGCGCAGCCCGGCCGAGCUCCGCGCCGCGGGCCCUGCGGCAGCGCUUCCCCGGGCAGGCUGCAGGCCGGCGGAGCUGGGGAACGCACAGCGGAGCCGUCCCCGUCCCGGCGCGCCGCUGCCGCCGACCGCCUUGGCAAUAGCGCCACCUGCGGGCCGCGCAGCGCCUAGGCAGGGAGCGGCGGCGGAGGGCGGAAACGUGGGCUCUGCUUUAGCGGCGUCCCCGGCGGUGUGGGAACCUACAUCUACACGGUGAGAGCAUCAACAAAAGAAACGUGAGAUUACUUCAUCGAAAGAAGCCUACCCAGCAGGUCGAGAGACGUGGUUCUGCCACUCUGCUCUGGUGAGAUCUCGCCUGGAGUGCAGCUCUGGAACCCUCAACACCCGCAGGAUGUGAACCUGAUGGAGCAGGUCCAGAGGACCACCAAGAUGCUUGCUGGAGUAGCUCUCCUACAAGAACAGGCUGAGGGAGCUGGGGAUAUUCGGCCUGGAGAAAAGAAGGCUCCAGGGAGAUCUAAUAGCAGCCUUCCAGUAGCCGAAGUGGGCUACAAGAAGAGUGCAGAGGAACUGCUUGCAAAGGCCUGCAGUGAUCCAAGGGGCAGUGGUUUGAAAUGAGACAAGAGAUUUAGAUUGGAUGUUAGGAACAAGCUCUGCACAAUGAGGGUGGUGGAACACCAGAACAGGCUGCCCAGGGAGGUGGUUGAGGUCCCAUCCCUGGAGAUAUUCAAGGUCAGGCUGAACAGGACUCCAAACAACCUGAUUUAGUGGAGGAUGUCCCUGCUGACUGCAGAGGGGUUGGACUAGGUGACCCUUGGAGGUCCUUUCCAACACAGCCCAAUCACAGGAUUCUAUACUUGGCACUAUUACCACAUUCACAGACUACCCCUGACCUUCUAAUCCACUUGUCUCUACAUCACCAACAUCUGAUCUUGGUUCUGAACACUUCAGUCCUACUCCAGUGAAAACAGCAUUUGACUGUUUGCUAAACCUCUCCAGAGCAUCCUUCUUUCCUCCACACCUUUGGUGUAGUGCCUGACUCAUUCUCACUUACACCUUGUACUUGGACCAAAACCUGCUGGUUUUGAUUCCUUUCUCUUCAGGCACUGAGAUGUCAGUAAUCAGUGGACUCUGACCGAUGGCCUGUAUGGACAAUUCCUCUUACUUGAGCAUGAAAUUAUUUCUAACAAUAGGAUGCUUUUAGAAUAAGAGACUGAGACAUAACCCAGAAUCCCCCCAAAGAACAACUGCCAGUGCAUGGCAGCCAGGCUCUUUGCCUGGUACACAUGAUGAGGUUGGUCUUGCAUACCCCAGAGCUGCUGCACACUUCUGGCAAGGGAGAAUCUUUUAUUUUUCAAUGACUAUUUCCAGAGACUUGGGGUUUAUUUCAGUCAUGUCUCACAUGAAGGGAAAGAAAUGAGAGGCUGUUUUCAAAAUCAGAUUAACCACAGUUUCUUCCCACUUGCCAAGCCCUAGCAGCCAGAGCUCUGUAGCUCUUUUCAUGCCAGCUACCCUAUAUCUCAGUCCCAAACAAGUAAUCCAUACUCCUAUUUGACUUUGAUAGCAGGACUGAACUGGCUAGGGCCAGAGCUGUGAUUUCAGACCCAGCACAGGCAAAUCUCACUUUUCACACUUGUAUGGAAAA